rnacentral:rRNA from 1 species
UAGGGAAUAUUGGACAAUGGGGGCAACCCUGAUCCAGCCAUGCCGCGUGAGUGAAGAAGGCCCUCGGGUUGUAAAGCUCUUUUGUCCGGAAAGAAAAGCAUUCGGUGAAUACCCGGAUGUUCUGACGGUACCGGAAGAAUAAGCACCGGCUAACUACGUGCCAGCAGCCGCGGUAAUACGUAGGGUGCGAGCGUUAAUCGGAAUUACUGGGCGUAAAGCGUGCGCAGGCGGCUUUGUAAGACAGAUGUGAAAUCCCCGGGCUCAACCUGGGAACUGCAUUUGUGACUGCAAGGCUAGAGUGCGUCAGAGGGAGGUGGAAUUCCGCGUGUAGCAGUGAAAUGCGUAGAGAUCGGGAGGAACAUCUGUGGCGAAGGCGACUGCCUGGACCAGCACUGACACUGAGGCACGAAAGCGUGGGGAGCAAACA